rnacentral:rRNA from 1 species
CGUAGGUGGCAAGCGUUGUCCGGAAUUACUGGGCGUAAAGAGCACGUAGGCGGGAAUUUAAGUCAGGAGUGAAAACUACCGGCUCAACCGGUAGCCUGCUCUUGAAACUGGAUUUCUUGAGGGUAUGAGAGGAAAGCGGAAUUCCCAGUGUAGCGGUGAAAUGCGUAGAUAUUGGGAGGAACACCAGUGGCGAAGGCGGCUUUCUGGCAUACAACUGACGCUGAGGCGCGAAAGCGUGGGGAGCAAACGGGAUUAGAUACCCCGGUAGUCCACGCCGUAAACGAUGGGCACUAGGUGUAGGAGGUAUCGACCCCUUCUGUGCCGUAGUUAACACAAUAAGUGCCCCGCCUGGGGAGUACGGCCGCAAGGUUG